AACGAACGCUGGCGGCGUGCUUAACACAUGCAAGUCGAACGCGAAAGGGACUUCGGCCCUGAGUAAAGUGGCGCACGGGUGAGUAACGCGUAGAUAACCUAUCUUCACGUCUGGAAUAAUACGCCGAAAGGGGUACUAAUACCGGAUAUUCUUGCUUUUCAUAAGUUUUGCAAGGAAAGGUGGCCUCUGUAUAUGCUACUGCGGGAAGAGGGGUCUGCGUACCAUUAGCUAGUAGGUGGGGUAAUGGCCUACCUAGGCAACGAUGGUUAGCGGGUUGGGGAGGAUGAUCCGCCACCCUGGCACUGGAACACGGGCCAGACUCCUACGGGAGGCAGCAGUGAGGAAUAUUGCGCAAUGGGGGAAACCCUGACGCAGCGACGCCGCGUGAGUGAGGAAGGCCUUCGGGUCGUAAAGCUCUGUCAAAGGGAAAGAAGUGCAUGAUGGCUAAUACCUGUCAUGUUUGACGGUACCCUUAAAGGAAGCACCGGCUAACUCCGUGCCAGCAGCCGCGGUAACAC
rnacentral:rRNA from 1 species